rnacentral:rRNA from 1 species
GACGAACGCUGGCGGCGUGCUUAACACAUGCAAGUCGAACGGUAAGGCCCUUCGGGGUACACGAGUGACGAACGGGUGAGUAACACGUGGGUGAUCUGCCCUGCGCUUCGGGAUAAGCCUGGGAAACUGGGUCUAAUACCGGAUAGGACCACUGCCUGCAUGGGUGGUGGUGGAAAGCUCUUGCGGUGUGGGAUGGGCCCGCUGCCUAUCAGCUUGUUGGUGGGGUGAUGGCCUACCAAGGCGACGACGGGUAGCCGGCCUGAGAGGGUGACCGGCCACACUGGGACUGAGGUACGGCCCAGACUCCUACGGGGGGCAGCAGUGGGGAAUAUUGCACAAUGGGCGCAAGCCUGAUGCAGCGACGCCGCGUGAGGGAUGACGGCCUUCGGGUUGUAAACCUCUUUCAGCACCGACGAAGCGCAAGUGACGGUAGGUGCAGAAGAAGGACCGGCCAACGACGUGCCAGCCGCCGCCGUAA